AACUUAAAGGAAUUGACGGGGGCCCGCACAAGCGGAGGAACAUGUGGUUUUAAUUCGAUGAUACGCGAGGAACCUUACCUGGGCUAGAACGCAUUCGGAAUCAGGCCGAAAGGCCUGCGCCAGCGAUGGCCGCUUGCGAGGUGCUGCAUGGUUGUCGUCAGCUCGUGCCGUGAGGUGUCGGGUUAAGUCCCAUAACGAGCGCAACCCCUACUGCUAGUUGCCAGCGGGUCAUGCCGGGGACUCUAGCGGAACUGCCAGCGUAAGCUGCGAGGAAGGUGGGGAUGACGUCAAAUCAGCACGGCCCUUACGUCCAGGGCUACACACGUGUUACAAUGGCCGGUACAGAGGGCAGCCACCCCGCGAGGGGGCGCGAAUCCCGAAAGCCGGUCCCAGUUCGGAUCGGAGUCUGCAACCCGACUCCGUGAAGCCGGAUUCGCUAGUAAUCGCGCAUCAGCCACGGCGCGGUGAAUACGUUCCCGGGCCUU
rnacentral:rRNA from 1 species